CAAACUGUGUGAAGCCUGUCACUUUGACGGGUGUAGCCAGCUAAACCCUUGUCUAUUCCUACUAUUUGUGAAUCCCUCGGCAGGGACGCCUGCCGCCGGGACCCCUAAAACCAAUUUUUUGUAUGCAAGUAUCCAAAUGUUCUGAAUACAGUUAAAAUAAUUA
rnacentral:misc_RNA from 1 species